AGUUCACCGAGCUCCUGGAACUCAUAACAGAGAUGUCAGCUGUGGAUGUUGAUGAAGCCCUAGGACUGUGUCGUCUUUCAUCAGAACAUUCUUUUAGAAGCCUUAAGAAGCAUGAUUGCUCUGCAGCCAAAGCUAGUUUUUUUUUUUUUUUAAUUUUAAAUAAGAAGAUAGAUCUAUGGGCCUUUGAGAAAAGGAUUCUCAUUUUAAAAAAUUAAUAAUACAACUUGUCUCCUCUGCUUUUCCACAUACUCACACAUCCCUAAAUUUUAGAAAGGAUAUGUCUGCUGCAUUUUCAUUCCUCUGCAUCAGCUACGGUUUUGUAACCUGGGUUGAAUUCAGCAUUCCUAGCUAGAAAAUAGUCAGCUGAGGAAAAGACUGCCAUCGUCUCUCCCACCUUGUCCAACUCAGUUAAACCCAUGUCGAAAGCAGAAUCUGCUUUCACUGUUGGAGGAAUAAAAUGCAAGCCAUGAUAUCAACCCUACAGAAGCAGAUUAUAUCUUGGAAUUUAAGGAUAUUUUAGAGGGCCUGACAACUUCCUAAAAUUGAAUUCAAACAUUUGAACAUGUAUACACUUGCAUUUUUAGGGAGUGAAGAUCCCUAGUUCUCACCAGAUUUGCAAAGAGGUCUGUGACCCCAGAAAAGGUUGGAAAAAAAACAAGCAAAUACGAUCCUGCAGUCAAGAUCAAACAUGCCCAUUUGCUGAACCAAAAUACAGGAUGCAUCAGCUGUCAAGACAAUAUUAAUUCUGAAGACAGGGAAAGGAAAGAUCUGAACUCAAGAUUACCCCAGUUAAUCUAGGGCAUAUGGCUAUCUGAAUUCUGGGGAAUGACAUAAGGGAAGUCUGCUCUCCCUUUUUUUUUUGUUUUCUUUUUUUUUAAUUCAUGACACUUUCACUGAUCAUUUGGAUGGCAGGGUAUCGCUAAGAACCAGGAUUAUAAAGAUGAACAGGCCUCAGGUCUGUUUUUAACAGGCUUAUAAUCUAUGGUAAGAGGCAAGGCAUUUAAUCUCCUUUGCUUCUACGAUUAUGGCUCACAUAUGUUUGCUCUGCUCUAAGAAAAAUGCAUCAGAAGCACCUUAGGUUUGGCAGGUAGGGGCUCUGAUGUUAACAGGAUUGGGUAGAGAAGCUCUUGAUGCUUCUGGAAACCCCAUGAGAGUUUAGAAAACACGAACCUUGUCCUUCCCUCUGGAAAGCACUCUCAUCUUUCCUGUCUGAUCACUGAGCCUCCUCCCCAGUCCAGGGAGGAAACAAUUUUUGUUGGAAGACAUUAAAUUGCUUGGCUGGCUGUUGUGGCCCUGGGUGAGAUGAAGGCAGACAUCGUUAAUGGAAUGUGUUGUCGCAUUUUUUGGUGGAUUGUUUUGAAAAGUAUUUCACUGGAGAACAUUAGCACAGCUUGGGCAAAAGUGCUUUGUGAAAAAAUUAAAUCCCCAUAUUUCUCUAUCUCUUUCUGCA
rnacentral:lncRNA from 10 species